rnacentral:rRNA from 1 species
GACGAACGCUGGCGGCGUGCUUAACACAUGCAAGUCGAACGGAAAGGCCCUGCUUUUGUGGGGUGCUCGAGUGGCGAACGGGUGAGUAACACGUGAGUAACCUGUCCUUGACUUUGGGAUAACUUCAGGAAACUGGGGCUAAUACCGGAUAGGAGCUACUGCUGCAUGGUGGGGGUUGGAAAGUUUCGGCGGUUGGGGAUGGGCUGGCGGCUUAUCAGCUUGUUGGUGGGGUAGUGGCUUACCAAGGCUAUGACGGGUAGCAGGGCUGGGAGGGUGACCGGACAAGUUAGGCCUGGAAUGCGACACAGACUACAACGGGACGGAGCGGAGGAGAAUAGUACACAGGGGGCGGAAGGCAGAUGCGACCACGCCGCGUGGGGGAUGACAGCCAUCGGGUAGUAAACCGCUUUCGCCUGAGACGAGACGAGAGUGACAGUAAUGGGUAAAGAAGCACCGGCUAACUACGUG